UUAGAUUUACCUUUUAAGGUUGAUUCUGAUCGAUCUCCUUUGGAUCUUGGUUUUCUGAAGUUAUUAUUCCUUUUUCUCCAGAGUUGUUUUACUCUUCUGGUCAGAAGGGAUAAUUCUUCCUCAUCGUCAGAAUCUUCCUUUUCAGAGUCAUCAACAUCUUCUUCUUCGGCCUGGAAGGCUUUGUUUCUGUCAGACUUGUGCCUUUCAGAUCUGGACUUUAGUGCUACAUACUUGAUUUUCUUUUGAGGCUCA
rnacentral:lncRNA from 1 species